CUUGCUACUUUGCUGACGAGCGGCGGACGGGUGAGUAAUGCUUGGGAACAUGCCUUGAGGUGGGGGACAACAGUUGGAAACGACUGCUAAUACCGCAUAAUGUCUACGGACCAAAGGGGGCUUCGGCUCUCGCCUUUAGAUUGGCCCAAGUGGGAUUAGCUAGUUGGUGAGGUAAUGGCUCACCAAGGCAACGAUCCCUAGCUGGUUUGAGAGGAUGAUCAGCCACACUGGGACUGAGACACGGCCCAGACUCCUACGGGAGGCAGCAGUGGGGAAUAUUGCACAAUGGGCGCAAGCCUGAUGCAGCCAUGCCGCGUGUGUGAAGAAGGCCUUCGGGUUGUAAAGCACUUUCAGUCAGGAGGAAAGGUUAGUAGUUAAUACCUGCUAGCUGUGACGUUACUGACAGAAGAAGCACCGGCUAACUCCGUGCCAGCAGCCGCGGUAAUACGGAGGGUGCGAGCGUUAAUCGGAAUUACUGGGCGUAAAGCGUACGCAGGCGGUUUGUUAAGCGAGAUGUGAAAGCCCCGGGCUCA
rnacentral:rRNA from 1 species